UGGGGAAUAUUGGACAAUGGGGGAAACCCUGAUCCAGCAAUGCCGCGUGAGUGAAGAAGGCCUUAGGGUUGUAAAGCUCUUUCGCCCGCGAAGAUAAUGACGGUAGCGGGAGAAGAAGCCCCGGCUAACUCCGUGCCAGCAGCCGCGGUAAUACGGAGGGGGCUAGCGUUGUUCGGAAUUACUGGGCGUAAAGCGUACGUAGGCGGAUGCGCAAGUUGGGGGUGAAAUCCCGGGGCUUAACCUCGGAAUUGCCCUCAAAACUGCACGUCUUGAGACCGAGAGAGGUAAGGGGAAUUCCUAGCGUAGAGGUGAAAUUCGUAGAUAUUAGGAAGAACACCAGUGGCGAAGGCGGCUUACUGGCUCGGUACUGACGCUGAGGUACGAA
rnacentral:rRNA from 1 species